rnacentral:rRNA from 1 species
GGGAGGCAGCAGUGGGGAAUCUUGCACAAUGGAGGAAACUCUGAUGCAGCGAUGCCGCGUGAGUGAAGAAGGCCCUUGGGUUGUAAAGCUCUUUCGUCGGGGAAGAAAAUGACUGUACCCGAAUAAGAAGGUCCGGCUAACUUCGUGCCAGCAGCCGCGGUAAUACGAAGGGACCUAGCGUAGUUCGGAAUUACUGGGCUUAAAGAGUUCGUAGGUGGUUGAAAAAGUUGGUGGUGAAAUCCCAGAGCUUAACUCUGGAACUGCCAUCAAAACUUUUCAGCUAGAGUAUGAUAGAGGAAAGCAGAAUUUCUAGUGUAGAGGUGAAAUUCGUAGAUAUUAGAAAGAAUACCAAUUGCGAAGGCAGCUUUCUGGAUCAUUACUGACACUGAGGAACGAAAGCAUGGGUAGCGAAGAGGAUUAGAUACCCUCGUAGUCCAUGCCGUAAACGAUGUGUGUUAGACGUUGGAAAUUUAUUUUCAGUGUCGCAGCGAAAGCGAUAAACACACCGCCUGGGGAGUACGACCGCAAGGUUAAAACUCAAAUGAAUUGACGGGGACCCGCACAAGUAGUGGAGCAUGUGGUUUAAUUCGAAGAUACGCGCAGAACCUUACCAACACUUGACAUGUUCGUCGCGACUCUAAGAGAUUAGAGUUUUCGGUUCGGCCGGACGAAACACAGGUGCUGCAUGGCUGUCGUCAGCUCGUGUCGUGAGAUGUUGGGUUAAGUCCCGCAACGAGCGCAACCCUCACUUUUAGUUGCCAUCAUUAAGUUGGGCACUCUGAAAGAACUGCCAGUGAUAAGCUGGAGGAAGGUGGGGAUGACGUCAAGUCCUCAUGGCCCUUACGUGUU